rnacentral:rRNA from 1 species
AGCGAACGCUGGCGGCAUGCUUAACACAUGCAAGCCGCGCGGGUGGUUUCGGCCAUCAGCGGCGGACGGGUGAGUAUCGCGUAGGAAUGUAUCCCGAGGUGGGGGACAACCCUGGGAAACUGGGGCUAAUACCGCAUGGGGCCUGUGGGUCAAAGCCUUAGGGCGCCUUGGGAGCAGCCUGCGUCCGAUUAGGUAGUUGGUGGGGUAAAGGCCUACCAAGCCUGCGAUCGGUAGCUGGUCUGAGAGGACGAUCAGCCACACUGGGACUGAGACACGGCCCAGACUCCUACGGGAGGCAGCAGUGGGGAAUAUUGGACAAUGGGCGCAAGCCUGAUCCAGCAAUGCCGCGUGGGUGAAGAAGGUCUUCGGAUUGUAAAGCCCUUUCGGCGGGGACGAUGAUGACGGUACCCGCAGAAGAAGCCCCGGCUAACUUCGUG